AUUGAACGCUGGCGGCAGGCCUAACACAUGCAAGUCGAGCGAGAAAGGUAGCAAUACCGAGUACAGCGGCGGACGGGUGAGGAACACGUAGGAAUCUACCUGGUAGUGGGGACAACGCGGGGAAACUCGCGCUAAUACCGCAUACGCCCUAAGGGGGUAAAGUGGGGGCACCGCAAGGCCUCACGCUAUCAGAAGAGCCUGCGUAGGAUUAGCUAGUUGGUAGGGUAAAGGCUUACCAAGGCGACGAUCCUUAGCUGGUCUGAGAGGAUGAUCAGCCACACCGGAACUGAGACACGGUCCGGGCUCCUACGGGAGGCAGCAGUGGGAAUCUUGCACAAUGGGCGAAAGCCUGAUGCAGCCAUGCCGCGUGUGUGAAGAAGGCCUCGGGUUGUAAAGCACUUUAAGCGGGGAGAAAAGGGUUGGUCGUUAACACCGGCUAUCUGUGAUGUUACCCGCAGAAUAAGCACCGGCAAACUUCGUGCCAGCAGCCGCGGUAAUACGAAGGGUGCGAGCGUUAAUCGGAAUUACUGGGCGU
rnacentral:rRNA from 1 species